UGGGGAAUAUUGGACAAUGGGCGAGAGCCUGAUCCAGCCAUGCCGCGUGCAGGAAGAAGGCGUUAUGCGUUGUAAACUGCUUUUUGCCAGGGGAUAAAAAGACCGUGCGCGGUUAAUUGAAGGUACCUGGUGAAUAAGCCACGGCUAACUACGUGCCAGCAGCCGCGGUAAUACGUAGGUGGCAAGCGUUGUCCGGAUUUAUUGGGUUUAAAGGGUGCGUAGGUGGCCCUGUAAGUCAGUGGUGAAAUAUCUCAGCUUAACUGAGAGGGUGCCAUUGAUACUGCAGGGCUUGAGUACAGAUGAGGUAGGCGGAAUUGACGGUGUAGCGGUGAAAUGCAUAGAUAUCGUCAAGAACACCGAUAGCGAAGGCAGCUUACCAAGCUGUAACUGGCACUGAGGCACGAAAGUGUGGGGAGCAAACAGGAUUAGAUACCCCCGUAGUCCCUGAGCGGGCUGGCAAGGCGCAU
rnacentral:rRNA from 1 species